UUCAAAUUUUUAAGAGCAAACGGUGAAUGCCUUGGCAUGUAGAGCCGAAGAAGGACGUAGUAAUCUGCGAUAAGCCUCGGGGAGUUGAUAAACGAACUGUGAUCCGAGGAUGUCCGAAUGGGGAAACCCCGCCAGGCCCGUAAGGUGACCUGGUGACUCCCGCCUGAAUAUAUAGGGCGGGUAGAGGGAACGUGGGGAAGUGAAACAUCUCAGUACCCACAGGAAGAGAAAACAACAGUGAUUCCGUUAGUAGUGGCNGAGUUGAUAAACGAACUGUGAUCCGAGGAUGUCCGAAUGGGGAAACCCCGCCAGGCCCGUAAGGUGACCUGGUGACUCCCGCCUGAAUAUAUAGGGCGGGUAGAGGGAACGUGGGGAAGUGAAACAUCUCAGUACCCACAGGAAGAGAAAACAACAGUGAUUCCGUUAGUAGUGGCGAGCGAACCCGGAUGAGGCUAAACCGAUCAUGUGUGAUAGCCGGUAGGCGUUGCAUGGUCGGGGUUGCGGGACUUUUCUGCCUAUUCUACCGAAUGGUAAGGGUUAGAACGUUGUAUAGACGAACAGGAUUGAAAGCCUGGUCAUAGAGGGUGCGAACCCCGUAGUCGAAAUGCAGCAAUCGCCCGAGAAGUAUCCCAAGUAGCACGGGGCCCGAGAAAUCCCGUGUGAAUCCGUCAGGACCACCUGAUAAGCCUAAAUACUCCUACAUGACCGAUAGUGAACAAGUACCGUGAGGGAAAGGUGAAAAGUACCCCGGGAGGGGAGUGAAAUAGUACCUGAAACCGUUUGCUUACAAACCGUUGGAGCCAGCUUUGUUCUGGUGACAGCGUGCCUUUUGAAGAAUGAGCCUGCGAGUUAGUGAUAUGUGGCGAGCUUAACCCGAGAGGGGAAUGCGUAGCGAAAGCGAGUCUGAAUAGGGCGAUUCAGUCGCAUGUCCUAGACCCGAAGCGAAGUGAUCUAUCCAUGGCCAGGUUGAAGCGACGGUAAGACGUCGUGGAGGACCGAACCCACUUCAGUUGAAAAUGGAGGGGAUGAGCUGUGGAUAGGGGUGAAAGGCCAAUCAAACUUCGUGAUAGCUGGUUCUCUCCGAAAUGCAUUUAGGUGCAGCGUUGCGUGUUUCUUGCCGGAGGUAGAGCUACUGGAUGGCCGAUGGGGCCCAAAAGCUUACUGACGUCAGCCAAACUCCGAAUGCCGGUAAGUGAGAGCGCAGCAGUGAGACGGUGGGGGAUAAGCUUCAUCGUCGAGAGGGAAACAACCCAGACCACCAACUAAGGUCCCAAAGCGCGUGCUAAGUGGGAAAGGAUGUGGAGUUGCACAGACAACCAGGAGGUUGGCUUAGAAGCAGCCACCCUUGAAAGAGUGCGUAAUAGCUCACUGGUCAAGUGAUUCCGCGCCGACAAUGUAACGGGGCUCAAGCACGCCACCGAAGUUGUGGCAUUGAUAUUUUUGGUAAGCCGCCACCUUGUGUGGUUGGUUCAGCCGUGUUGAUGGGUAGGAGAGCGUCGUGUGGCCAGCGAAGCGGCGGUGUAAACCAGCCGUGGAGGCUACACGAGUGAGAAUGCAGGCAUGAGUAGCGAAAGACGGGUGAGAAACCCGUCCUCCGAAAGAUCAAGGGUUCCAGGGCCAGGCUAAUCCGCCCUGGGUAAGUCGGGACCUAAGGCGAGGCCGACAGGCGUAGUCGAUGGACAACGGGUUGAUAUUCCCGUACUGACGAAAAACCGCCCAAACUAAUCCAGUAAUGCUAAGCAUCUGAAUCCCCUAGAUGGAUCCCUUCGGGGUGAAGCGUGGGGCCUAGCGUGCGACCCUAUGCUGGUGCGGUUAGCGUAUUAACAGGUGUGACGCAGGAAGGUAGCUGAGCCGGGCGAUGGUUGACCCGGUCUAAGGAUGUAGGCCGAGAGAUAGGCAAAUCCGUCUCUCAUAUAAGGUUGAGACCCGAUGGGUAGCCCGUAAGGGUGAAAUCAGUGAUCCUAUGCUGCCAAGAAAAGCAUCGACGCGAGGUUUUAGUCACCCGUACCCCAAACCGACUCAGGUGAUCAGGUAGAGAAUACUAAGGAGAUCGAGAGAAUCGUGGUUAAGGAACUCGGCAAAAUGCCCCCGUAACUUCGGGAGAAGGGGGGCCUGAGGCGUGAACGGACUUGCUCCGGGAGCGUUCGAAGGCCGCAGAGACCAGUGGGAAGCGACUGUUUACUAAAAACACAGGUCCGUGCUAAGUCGCAAGACGAUGUAUACGGACUGACGCCUGCCCGGUGCUGGAAGGUUAAGAGGAACGGUUAGCCGCAAGGCGAAGCUGAGAAUUUAAGCCCCAGUAAACGGCGGUGGUAACUAUAACCAUCCUAAGGUAGCGAAAUUCCUUGUCGGGUAAGUUCCGACCUGCACGAAUGGCGUAACGACUUCCCAGCUGUCUCAACCGCGAACUCGGCGAAAUUGCAUUACGAGUAAAGAUGCUCGUUACGCGCAGCAGGACGGAAAGACCCCGUGACCUUUACUACAGCUUGGUAUUGGUGUUCGGUGUGGCUUGUGUAGGAUAGGUGGGAGACUGUGAAGCUUGGACGCUAGUUCAGGUGGAGUCAUUGUUGAAAUACCACUCUGGUCAUAUUGGAUACCUAACUUCGAACCGUGAUCCGGUUCAGGGACAGUGCCUGGUGGGUAGUUUAACUGGGGCGGUUGCCUCCUAAAAAGUAACGGAGGCGCCCAAAGGUUCCCUCAACCUGGUUGGUAAUCAGGUGUCGAGUGUAAGUGCACAAGGGAGCUUGACUGUAAGACUGACAAGUCGAGCAGGGACGAAAGUCGGGACUAGUGAUCCGGCAGUGGCUUGUGGAAGCGCUGUCGCUCAACGGAUAAAAGGUACCUCGGGGAUAACAGGCUGAUCUUGCCCAAGAGUCCAUAUCGACGGCAUGGUUUGGCACCUCGAUGUCGGCUCGUCGCAUCCUGGGGCUGGAGUAGGUCCCAAGGGUUGGGCUGUUCGCCCAUUAAAGCGGUACGCGAGCUGGGUUUAGAACGUCGUGAGACAGUUCGGUCCCUAUCCGCUGCGCGCGCAGGAAAUUUGAGAAGAUCUAUCCCUAGUACGAGAGGACCGGGAUGGACGAACCUCUGGUGUGUCAGUUGUUCCGCCAGGAGCACCGCUGAUUAGCUACGUUCGGAACGGAUAACCGCUGAAAGCAUCUAAGCGGGAAGCCGGCUUCGAGAUGAGAUUUCCAUCCCUUCGGGGGAGAGGCUCGCAGCUAGACUACUGCGUUGAUAGGCCGGAUGUGGAAGUGGGGACUAAAGACCCAUGGAGCUGACCGGUACUAAUAAGCCGAUAAUUUGAUAACAC
rnacentral:rRNA from 1 species